rnacentral:rRNA from 1 species
CCUACGGGGGGCAGCAGUGGGGAAUAUUGCACAAUGGGGGAAACCCUGAUGCAGCGACGCCGCGUGAGUGAAGAAGUAUUUCGGUAUGUAAAGCUCUAUCAGCAGGGAAGAAAAUGACAGUACCUGAGUAAGAAGCCCCGGCUAACUACGUGCCAGCAGCCGCGGUAAUACGUAGGGGGCAAGCGUUAUCCGGAUUUACUGGGUGUAAAGGGAGCGUAGACGGCAGGGCAAGUCUGGAGUGAAAGGCGGGGGCUCAACCCCCGGACUGCUUUUGAAACUGUGUGGCUGGAGUGCAGGAGAGGUAAGUGGAAUUCCUAGUGUAGCGGUGAAAUGCGUAGAUAUUAGGAGGAACACCAGUGGCGAAGGCGGCUUACUGGACUGUAACUGACGUUGAGGCUCGAAAGCGUGGGGAGCAAACAGGAUUAGAUACCCUUGUAGUC